AAAUUGAAGAGUUUGAUCAUGGCUCAGAUUGAACGCUGGCGGCAGGCCUAACACAUGCAAGUCGAACGGUAACAGGAAGCAGCUUGCUGCUUUGCUGACGAGUGGCGGACGGGUGAGUAAUGUCUGGGAAACUGCCUGAUGGAGGGGGAUAACUACGGGAAACGGUAGCUAAUACCGCAUAACGUCGCAAGACCAAAGAGGGGGACCUUCGGGCCUCUUGCCAUCGGAUGUGCCCAGAUGGGAUUAGCUUGUUGGUGGGGUAACGGCUCACCAAGGCGACGAUCCCUAGCUGGUCUGAGAGGAUGACCAGCCACACUGGAACUGAGACACGGUCCAGACUCCUACGGGAGGCAGCAGUGGGGAAUAUUGCACAAUGGGCGCAAGCCUGAUGCAGCCAUGCCGCGUGUAUGAAGAAGGCCUUCGGGUUGUAAAGUACUUUCAGCGGGGAGGAAGGGAGUAAAGU
rnacentral:rRNA from 1 species